AAGUAGACAUUUGAAUUGAGUUCCGGCACUCGAAGCGAAAUAUUCGCCGCGUUGCUGGACGGAAGAGUCCCGACGUGCGGACGAUCGAUAGCGAUGCGUUUUACGU
rnacentral:rRNA from 1 species